AUUGAACGCUGGCGGCAGGCCUAACACAUGCAAGUCGAACGGUAGCACAGAGGAGCUUGCUCCUUGGGUGACGAGUGGCGGACGGGUGAGUAAUGUCUGGGAAACUGCCCGAUGGAGGGGGAUAACUACUGGAAACGGUAGCUAAUACCGCAUAACGUCGCAAGACCAAAGAGGGGGACCUUCGGGCCUCUUGCCAUCGGAUGUGCCCAGAUGGGAUUAGCUAGUAGGUGGGGUAACGGCUCACCUAGGCGACGAUCCCUAGCUGGUCUGAGAGGAUGACCAGCCACACUGGAACUGAGACACGGUCCAGACUCCUACGGGAGGCAGCAGUGGGGAAUAUUGCACAAUGGGCGCAAGCCUGAUGCAGCCAUGCCGCGUGUAUGAAGAAGGCCUUCGGGUUGUAAAGUACUUUCAGCGAGGAGGAAGGUGUUGUGGUUAAUAACCGCAGCAAUUGACGUUACUCGCAGAAGAAGCACCGGCUAACUCCGUGCCAGCAGCCGCGGUAAUACGGAGGGUGCAAGCGUUAAUCGGAAUUACUGGGCGUAAAGCGCACGCAGGCGGUCUGUCAAGUCGGAUGUGAAAUCCCCGGGCUCAACCUGGGAACUGCAUCCGAAACUGGCAGGCUAGAGUCUUGUAGAGGGGGGUAGAAUUCCAGGUGUAGCGGUGAAAUGCGUAGAGAUCUGGAGGAAUACCGGUGGCGAAGGCGGCCCCCUGGACAAAGACUGACGCUCAGGUGCGAAAGCGUGGGGAGCAAACAGGAUUAGAUACCCUGGUAGUCCACGCCGUAAACGAUGUCGACUUGGAGGUUGUGCCCUUGAGGCGUGGCUUCCGGAGCUAACGCGUUAAGUCGACCGCCUGGGGAGUACGGCCGCAAGGUUAAAACUCAAAUGAAUUGACGGGGGCCCGCACAAGCGGUGGAGCAUGUGGUUUAAUUCGAUGCAACGCGAAGAACCUUACCUACUCUUGACAUCCAGAGAACUUAGCAGAGAUGCUUUGGUGCCUUCGGGAACUCUGAGACAGGUGCUGCAUGGCUGUCGUCAGCUCGUGUUGUGAAAUGUUGGGUUAAGUCCCGCAACGAGCGCAACCCUUAUCCUUUGUUGCCAGCGGUUCGGCCGGGAACUCAAAGGAGACUGCCAGUGAUAAACUGGAGGAAGGUGGGGGUGACGUCAAGUCAUCAUGGCCCUUACGAGUAGGGCUACACACGUGCUACAAUGGCAUAUACAAAGAGAAGCGACCUCGCGAGAGCAAGCGGACCUCAUAAAGUAUGUCGUAGUCCGGAUUGGAGUCUGCAACUCGACUCCAUGAAGUCGGAAUCGCUAGUAAUCGUGGAUCAGAAUGCCACGGUGAAUACGUUCCCGGGCCUUGUACACACCGCCCGUCACACCAUGGGAGUGGGUUGCAAAAGAAGUAGGUAGCUUAACCUUCGGGAGGGCGCUUACCACUUUGUGAUUCAUGACUGGGGUG
rnacentral:rRNA from 1 species